ensembl:lncRNA
AGGAAAGGUGCUUGCGGGGGGGAGUUGGGAACUUAGUUAAUAUAUGCCUGUGAUGCAGUGGAAUGUAAAGCACAGGAUUUCUAGGGAGUGUUCCAGUUCCAUCCCUAUCCACUCCUUUUUACACAAUGUAUGUGGUACAGAAUUGGCUUGUAAGAAACUGCAGUUCUCCUGCAGAUUCAGCAAGUCACAACUGUUAUCGUGAUGAUUUCCAUUUUGAGAAGAAACAUAGAGGAACAGGAUUUUAAAUUCAUAUGAGAAUUAUUUUAAGUUUUGAUGUGUUUAGGAUGUACCAGCACGGCUAUAAAAGAAAAAAGGAAGAGUUUAAUUUCCUGACCGGUAUCUUAUAAUCUUAAUAUAGCCGUCUUGUGUUUUAAUUGAGGAAAUCUAAGUUGCUAUAUGUAAAGCAGUUUUGUAUUGUCUUGAGUCAUCCCAUACCAAGCGCUUUCCUUCUGUACGUGCAUUGGACUCUGUCCAUGAAGGAAAAGAGUUUUACAUGCGUUGCAAAGCAUCCUCACAUUGAGUCAGCUGCCAGCGCCAGUGCAGAGGUUUGUGUUUUGCAUUGAGUUGGGUUGCAACCCCACAAGGACUGUGUGUAAUUGCAGCAGGAGCGGGGCCCGAUCAUGUACGUCACAGGAUAGAUGGGGAGAUUUCUCUUUCUUUAACUAUUUUUUUUUAAAGCAAAUCUUAAGUAAUUUCCUUAGGACACAAAAAAGAACUUGCACAUGUGGUCAAUACAAGAUUUGCCUGUAGUACUUACAGAGCGUGUGAUUAAUAGACUUCAGGAGCUGUGAGCUAGGGCUGGAUGGGGAGGAAGAUGAGGAAGAAGUCAAGGAAGGGAGGCGUUUUCUUCACAGGAUCAAUCCUAAACAUGCCAUGGAAAGAAGGCCCCCUCCCAGGUAAACCGUCUCCACAACUUCCAUCAGUACAACUACCCACAAAAGUGAGGGACAUAGAGCACGUCCCAGCCUGCUCUGAAGCCAAACACGCACUUCAGCUCCCUAAACUCUCCAUCUCCUCUAGAGAAGUCUAAAUAUUUGGGCUGGCAAGGCUGCAAAGCUGCGCAUGCUUACAGGGGCUUGCUUUAUUUAUUUUCUUAUUGCAAGGAUGGAUACAGGCCAACGCACUUAAUAGUAACCACAUGGUAAAAUAAAUAAGAAUGCCUGUAUAGACUUAAAAGUAAAUGUUCAAUAUUUGCUCUGGGGUUUUUUCUGAUGUCUUCUAUGCCAGCUUUGAAAUGGCUGUAUGGCAAACAGCGCUUUUAUUUUGCUGUGUUUUCUUAAGCCUGGAACAUUUAAUAAUUUCUAAUUAAACCAGCUACAUUUUUAGGAUAUUUAUGAGCAAACUGAUAUGGGCUCUUAAAAUGUGCUGGGGAGGGGCAAAAGCUGUACACUAAAGUCAUAUUUAAGGGGUUUGUUUCUUCCAAAGUCAUGUAAAAACCCCUAUCCAUGUUCUCCUGCUUUAGAGAAGGUACCCACUGGAUACACCAAGGAGAAGCCAUUAGCAAUUUAUAUUUCUCUUCCUACAUUUAGGAGCAUUUUACUUUAAAUAAGCAAUCAUCCUCCAGCCCCACAGCAGAGAAGAGCCUGAACACAGGGGCAACUGUUGGGUAACUGCCUGCUGCUGUGAGUCGGUGGGAGCCAGAAGUCAGCCUUUACAUAUCUGGGAUGCCAAAGUUAGCUUACAAAAAUAAAGUAAAUUUGGACUGAAUGUUUUAUUU